rnacentral:rRNA from 1 species
AAUAAGCUAAUUAAGAGCGUAAGGUGGAUGCCUUGGCUCUCAGAGGCGAUGAAGGACGUGAUAAGCUGCGAUAAGCUACGGGGAUUGGCACACACAAUUUGAUCCGUAGAUUUCCGAAUGGGGAAACCCACUAUAUUGAAGAUAUAGUAUCCGUUAAGGAAGCAAACCCAGGGAACUGAAACAUCUAAGUACCUGGAGGAAUAGAAAACAAAAGUGAUUCCGCUAGUAGUGGCGAGCGAACGCGGAUCAGCCCAAACCAAAAUUGUUUCGGCAAUUUUGGGGUUGUAGGA